rnacentral:rRNA from 1 species
UACGUAGGCAGCAAGCGUUGUUCGGAGUUACUGGGCGUAAAGAGUGCGUAGGCGGUCCUGUAAGUUUGGUGUGAAAUCUCCCGGCUCAACUGGGAGGGUGCGCCGAAGAUUGCAGGGCUUGAGUAUGGGAGAGGUAAGCGGAAUUCCUGGUGUAGCGGUGAAAUGCGUAGAUAUCAGGAGGAACACCUGUGGUGUAGACAGCUUACUGGACCAUAACUGACGCUGAGGCACGAAAGCGUGGGUAGCAAACAGG